rnacentral:rRNA from 1 species
UUACGGCUCAGUAACACGUGAUUAAUCUGCCCUUAGGACCAGAAUAACUCCUGGGAAACUGGAGCUAAUGCUGGACAGGCGAAGACGCCUGGAAGGGUGCUUCGCCGAAAAGGCGUCAAAAACAUGCUUUUGACGCUGCCUAAGGAUGAGACCGCGUCCGAUCAGGUUGUUGGUGGGGUAACGGCCCACCAAGCCGAUAACCGGUACGGGCCCUGAGAUGGGGAGCCCGGAGAUGGAACCUGAGACAAGGUUCCAGGCCUUACGGGGCGCAGCAGGCGCGAAAACUCCACAAUGCACGAAAGUGUGAUGGGGUUACCCCGAGUGCCGUCCGUUGAGGAUGGCUUUUCAUCGGUCUAAGGAGCCGGUGGAAUAAGGGGGGGGCAAGAUUGGUGUCAGCCGCCGCGGUAAUACCAACCCCUCAAGUGGUGGGGACGAUUAUUUGGCUUAAAGCGUCCGUAGCCGGCCUGACAAGUCUCUCGCUAAAUCCAGCGAUCCAAUCGUUGGUCCGCGGAAGAUACUGUCAAGCUAGGAGGCGGGAGAGGCCGACGGUAUUCCCAGGGUAGGGGUGAAAUCCUAUAAUCCUGGGAGGACCACCAGUGGCGAAGGCGGUCGGCCAGAACGCGCUCGACGGUGAGGAACGAAAGCUGGGGGAGCAAACCGGAUUAGAUACCCGGGUAGUCCCAGCUGUAAACGAUGCAGGCUAGGUGUUGGGGCGGCUACGAGCCGCUUCAGUGCCGCAGGGAAACCAUUAAGCCUGCCGCCUGGGGAGUACGACCGCAAGGUUGAAACUUAAAGGAAUUGGCGGGGGAGCAC